rnacentral:lncRNA from 1 species
UAUAUACCUCUCAAAAUCUAUGAAAUAUCUUAUUUAUUUAUAUAUUUUUUUUAUUUCAAAUAUACCCCUCGUAUAUUUCUUUAUUAUUCAAAAAUAUUCCACUGUUAGUAACUAUUAAGUCAUCUCCGAUUAAACCUGAGUUAAAUUUAUACUGUAGUUAAAAAUAGUAAAAAUAUAUAUUUUGUCCCCUAACUUAAGAGCAAAUAAGAAAAGUUGGUGACUGUAGAAGUGUAUAUUUGAAAUGGCAAAAAGUAAAAAUACUUUUUUUGUCCCUUAACUUAAGGGUAAAUAGAAAAUUAAGUUGGUAAUGAUAGAAGGUUAUAUUUGAAAGGGCACAGAAAUAACGGCUGUUCCUAGUAACUCAAUAAAAAAAUUUAACUUUAGGGAUAUAUUUAAAAGAAUUUAAAACCUUAAAAGGAUAUUUUUGGUAUUAGCUUUCUUAAAAGGGUAAGUACGAAAGUCGAAAAUUUUUCAGAAAUAUAUAAGCAAUUAUCCCUAAUAUUUAUAUAUCGCUGUCGUUCAAUUUGCAAAAUGGACUUUGGACGAAAGUCUAUCAUUUGGAUGUCCAAUUUCGAUAGCGCCCCAGUAGGAAAUCUUUAAAAAUAAUUAUUAGUUUAUUAACUAUAUAAGUAAGAGAAAAUAUGAGAUAUUAAUUAUAAGUGAAUAAAAGUAAGAGAUAUCAAUUUAGUAGUUAUGAGUAAGAGUAAAUAUU